UACGUAGGGGGCUAGCGUUGUCCGGAAUCAUUGGGCGUAAAGCGCGUGUAGGCGGUCCGGUAAGUCCGCUGUGAAAGUCGGGGGCUCAACCCUCGGAUGCCGGUGGAUACUGUCGGGCUUGAGUACGGAAGAGGCGAGUGGAAUUCCGUGGUGUAGCGGUGAAAUGCGCAGAUAUCAGGAGGAACACCAAUUGCGAAGGCAGCUCGCUGGACGUUACUGACGCUGAGACGCGAAAGCGUGGGGAGCAAACAGG
rnacentral:rRNA from 1 species